GCAACCCGUCCAGCAGCUACUCUGACGUCGUAACCAAGAGACAGCGCAGUGCACCACGGGAAAUGUGUCCCCCUGACUGGUGGCUGUUUAGCCUUAAAGGAUAAUGUUGGACCAGAUUGUGUAUGAUCCCUUACGUUGGCUUUUAACCAUCUACUUUCAACAUCUACUUUAAUACCCCUUUUCCACCAGCCAGCAUACAACACGGGUGUCACGAUCCGGGUUACUGGACGCCAUUAUCUACCUUUCAGGUGUAUCCUGAGGCUGGCUCAGCGUUCCAGGGCCGGGUCUCAGUCAUGCUGCUGACAUCCUCACUCCACAUCUCCUCCCUGUCAUUCCGAAGGCGCUUUCAUAGUAAGCUCAUAAAGUCAAGUUGGCGUCUCCUGCCCUCCGCGGCCUCCACCGCCAUUACUGCUACUACUCACAUGGUUCUACAAACUAACUUUCCCUCCAAUUGCUAGUAUAGGCGCAGCCAUGUUGGUUCAGUCACAUGACAUUACCUCCACCGAUCCGCUGUACCGCUGAACUCUGCCUAAUUGAUCAGCCAAUGCCUGCCCUGCUGCAGGUAUAAAUAUCCUGUUCCUGAACCAGGAAGUUGUCAGUGCUUUGGUUGUCAAACCCAAUGUUACCAGUCUCCCUGCUUUGUGGUUGUUUGCUUAUUACAGGUAUUCCAGCUCCUGUCUCCAACUCCACUAGAGACCUGCACCAGUUUAACAUCUAGCGGUGCAGCCUGACUGAUCUAACAUUGAUCCCUGCAACUGGCAGUGUCUAACACCGGCUUCCAGCAUCCAGCUUCCAGCGGUGUCCUGUUUCCAAAUACCAUCGGUGCUCCGUCAUCGAAUACCAGAUACCAUCGGUGCUCCACCAUCGAAUACCAAAUACCAUCGGUGCUCCGCCAUCAAAUACCAGAUACUAUCGGUGCUCCGCCAUCGAAUACCAGAUACCAUCGGUGCUCCGCCAUCGAAUACCAGAUAUCAUUGGUGCUCCGCCAUCGACUUUCUAAUUCCAGCGAUCCCUAGCAUCACCAGUGCUACUAGCUAUUCUCCAGCUACGUUGGUGCAUCAAGCUCUCCACUCAGCUCAUCGUUCAGUCCGGUUCCAUCCGGCCUACCCAGCAGCUAACUUAUACUCCAGCCAAUACAACCAGCUUCCAGUGCACCACCUGCUGGUCAGCUCCUGUUACCGUUCUACUACUCAGUACUUGGGUGCCGGUUAAGGACAUUCCAUCUCCUUGUCUGCCAAGACUGAUACCUAAUAUUACCGCACCCAGAGGCAUCCGCAUCCCUGGUGUAUCUAACAGGAACUGUGUAUUGUCUUUAAUUUACCAUACCUGACAUUGCUGCUGAUGUACCAUCUGAACUGUGCUUGAAUAAAACCCGUUAACCUUA